AGUGGAGUCCAGCCAGAGUACCAGGAGCUUGGGGCAUUGUCUACGUGAUUGGUAGCCACAGGAUAAUGGAGUUGAGGGUUCCUGGUGUCAGUAGCCUAAUGCUUGGGCACGCAGCUCACUGUUCCGUCCCUUAUAGAAUUUUCUACUGGGUCUCAAGAGUAAGCCUCCCUCAACCAGAACACAGACUGCUUUUCAUGGUUCAACAUAAAACAAGAACAGAAAGGUACAUGUCUGUUACUCUGGACCUAGAGACCUUGAAAGAGUCAAGAACUUAAGAGCCCACUACCACCCAACAUUUUCUCCAAGAGAUCCUGCUCACCUGACAGCCAUUGGUGCCAUUUGUUUGCACCAAGGAAGACCCUACAGCCUCACAGUUUUUCCAGUUUAAUCAAAACUGAAAUACUGAUAUAUGUAUUCCAAGUGGAGACACAGGGAUGAGACAAACCACAGCAAUUUUAACCCUAGCAUGGAUAGAGCUCCCUUUCCUCCAGCAAGGAGGGAAGAGGCCAGUGAAACUUGGUGUGCUGACUUAUGAAUGGAGGUGGAGGACCUGAUUCUGAGAAGGUGCAAGAAAGAAGGAACUCAAGAAGACGUGGAUGAAGUGAAGAAUGAAGGUAUCCAGGCCCUACAAGGGGCAUGUAUUGAGUGGUUCUCAACAUCCCUCAUGCUGUGGUGACCCCACCAUAAAAUUAUUUUUGCUGCUGUAA